rnacentral:tRNA from 1 species
GCCUGGAUGGCUCAGUCGGUUAAGGGUCUGACUUCAGCUCAGAUCAUGAUCUCACAGUUUGUGGGUUCGAGCCCCACAUUGGGCU